rnacentral:tRNA from 1 species
GGAGGUGUAGCUCAGUGGUUAGAGCGGCGUUCUUAUAAAGCGAAGGUCGCGGGUUCAAUCCCCGCCACCUCUACCA